rnacentral:rRNA from 1 species
ACAUCCAGAGAACUUGGCAGAGAUGCCUUGGUGCCUUCGGGACCUCUGAGACAGGUGCUGCAUGGCUGUCGUCAGCUCGUGUUGUGAAAUGUUGGGUUAAGUCCCGNAACGAGCGCAACCCUAUCCUUUGUUGCCAGCGAUUCGGUCGGGAACUCAAAGGAGACUGCCGGUGAUAAACCGGAGGAAGGUGGGGAUGACGUCAAGUCAUCAUGGCCCUUACGAGUAGGGCUACACACGUGCUACAAUGGCGCAUACAAAGAGAAGCGACCUCGCGAGAGCAAGCGGACCUCAUAAAGUGCGUCGUAGUCCGGAUCGGAGUCUGCAACUCGACUCCGUGAAGUCGGAAUCGCUAGUAAUCGUAGAUCAGAAUGCUACGGUGAAUACGUUCCCGGGCCUUGUACACACCGCCCGUCACACCAUGGGAGUGGGUUGCAAAAGAAGUAGAUAGCUUAACCUUCGGGAGGGCGUUUACCACUUUGUGAUUCAUGACUGGGGUGAAGUCGUAACAAGGUAGGCGUAGCGAG